rnacentral:rRNA from 1 species
AUUGAACGCUGGCGGCAUGCCUUACACAUGCAAGUCGAACGGCAGCACGGGUGCUUGCACCUGGUGGCGAGUGGCGAACGGGUGAGUAAUACAUCGGAACAUGUCCUGUAGUGGGGGGUAGCCCGGCGAAAGCCGGAUUAAUACCGCAUACGAACCUCGGAUGACAGCGGGGGACCUUCGGGCCUCGCGCUGUUGGGUGGGGUCGUGGCUGCUUUGCUUGUUGGGGGGGUAAAGGCUUACCAAGGCGGUGAUCGGUAGCGGGGCUGGGAGGGUGACCGGCCAAAUUGGGACUGAGAUACGGCGCAGACUCCUACGGGAGGCAGAAGUGGGGAAGAUUGCACAAUGGGGGGAAGCCUGAUGCAGCAACGCCGCGUGCGGGAUGACGGCCUUCGGGUGGGAAAACGCUUUCGCCUGGGACGAAGCGUGAGUGACGGUAAUGGGUAAAGAAGCACCGGCUAACUACGUG